rnacentral:rRNA from 1 species
GACGAACGCUGGCGGCGUGCUUAACACAUGCAAGUCGAGCGGUAAGGCCCUUUCGGGGGUACACGAGCGGCGAACGGGUGAGUAACACGUGGGUGACCUGCCCUUAGCUCUGGGAUAAGCCUGGGAAACUGGGUCUAAUACCGGAUAUGACUCCAUGACGCAUGUUGUGGGGUGGAAAGCCUUGUGCGGCUAGGGAUGGGCCUGCGGCCUAUCAGCUUGUUGGUGGGGUGANGGCCUACCAAGGCGACGACGGGUAGCCGGCCUGAGAGGGCGACCGGCCACACUGGGACUGAGACACGGCCCAGACUCCUACGGGAGGCAGCAGUGGGGAAUCUUGCGCAAUGGGCGAAAGCCUGACGCAGCGACGCCGCGUGGGGAUGACGGCCUCGGUU